rnacentral:rRNA from 1 species
AUUGAACGCUGGCGGCAUGCUUUACACAUGCAAGUCGAACGGUAACAGGUUAAGCUGACGAGUGGCGAACGGGGGAGUAAUGCAUCGGAACGUGCCCGAUCGUGGGGGAUAACGCAGCGAAAGCUGCGCUAAUACCGCAUACGAUCUGAGGAUGAAAGGGGGGGACCGUAAGGCCUCGCGCGAUCGGAGCGGCCGAUGUCAGAUUAGGUAGUUGGUGGGGUAAAGGCCCACCAAGCCGACGAUCUGUAGCUGGUCUGAGAGGACGACCAGCCACACUGGGACUGAGACACGGCCCAGACUCCUACGGGAGGCAGCAGUGGGGAAUUUUGGACAAUGGGCGAAAGCCUGAUCCAGCAAUGCCGCGUGCAGGAAGAAGGCCUUCGGGUUGUAAACUGCUUUUGUACGGAGCGAAAAGGUCCUUUCUAAUACAAGGGGCUCAUGACGGUACCGUAAGAAUAAGCACCGGCUAACUACGUGCCAGCCGCCGCAGUAA